UCUACAACAGUUUGGGAACAAAGUUAUCCUUGAGAUACAGUCAGCACACAGCAAGAGACAAAAAGAAAUGCCCACAGCUGAAAAGCUCACUGACAAGUGUAUUAAAACCAAAUUGCUUAGCCAAAACACAAGCAAGCACUUCUGAUUUUCAUGUGGUGUUUCCCCAUAAUACAUAAUUACAUGGUGCAUUACAGCAUGCACGCGGAUCAAAGAUACUCAUUCUCGGUCGUCGUUGGUUAUUGCACAUAAC
rnacentral:lncRNA from 1 species